GUUAUAGGGUCAAGCGAACAAGUGCAUGUGGUGGAUGCCUUGGCGAUCACAGGCGAUGAAGGACGCGGUAGCCUGCGAAAAGCUACGGGGAGCUGGCAAACGAGCUUUGAUCCGUAGAUGUCCGAAUGGGGAAACC
rnacentral:rRNA from 1 species